rnacentral:piRNA from 1 species
AAAGAUUUAUGACUUAUUCUCUACAGAG